rnacentral:rRNA from 1 species
CCUACGGGAGGCAGCAGUAGGGAAUCUUCCACAAUGGACGAAAGUCUGAUGGAGCAACGCCGCGUGAGUGAAGAAGGGUUUCGGCUCGUAAACAUCUUUUGUUAGGGACGAAAGAUAGAGGUAGUAACUGUCCUUUAUUUGCCGGUAAUUACUUACAAACUCACGGCGAAAUACGUUCCAUAAGCCGCGGUAAUACUUAGGCUGCAAGCGUUGUCCGGAUUUAUUGGGCGUAAAGCGAGUGCAGGAGGGUCAAUAAGUCUGAUGUGAAAGCCUUGGGCACAACCUGAGAACUGCAUCAGAAACUGUUGUACUUGAGUGCAGAAGAGGAGAGUGGAACUCCAUGUGGAGCGGUGGAAUGCGUAGAUAUAUGGAAGAACACCAGUGGCGAAGGCGGGUCUCUGGUCUGUAACUGACGCUGAGGCUCGAAAGCAUGGGUAGCGAACAGGAUUAGAUACCCGUGUAGUC